rnacentral:pre_miRNA from 11 species
GACCGCACGGGAAAAUCGAUUUUCCCGUGCGAUCGAUUUAAGUGGACCGCACGGGAAAAUCGAUUUUUCCGUGCGGGC